rnacentral:sRNA from 1 species
AGGUUUUAUAUGUAAGACAAAAGAAAUUUUCACAUAAGUGGAUGAAAAAAAAUUGUUCUCAUGGUUUGUCAAAGUGAGAUAUGGUUUUCACCGUUUGUCUUUUCAGUUGUUUUCAGACCAAAAUACUCUUAAUGGGAGCAACCAAACCACACAGCACUUGAUUUCGGUUUAGUUUCUGUAGUUCAAUUUUGAAAA